CUGGAAUGUGGAUGUGGGGGUCUUGUCCUUAUAUGGCUAGAGUUAAAUGCUGACGUUAGUAUGAGCACAUCUUUAUAGUAACAGAGGGACACAAGGUCGCUCUCUCUUGGCUCGUGGCUCUUGGCUCUGAGCUCUCUCUGGCUCUCUCUCUUGAUGUAAAGAUGUAAGGAUUUAAAGAAGUCCAGCAAUUACCAUCUGCUGUUGCAUGUCCAUUAUCCUGUAACAUCAUUUAUUAUGUUUUAUUAUGUAUCUGUAACUAAGAAUAAACCUGAAGAAACCGUAAGUCAGAUUGCGUAUUACUACUUUUCAAUAAUAUAGACAUUUAUUAUUGUGGCGAGCAUUUGGCCCAAGACUAUAUAUACAAAAGACGUAUAUAUAUAUCAAUCAUCAAGAUUUUACAUUGGCUAGCCAGCCAGUCUUCUAUUCAAGUUUUGUUCCCACUUUAAGGGGGGAGAGAGAAGAAUCGAGUUACAAAUCUAUUUUGGAACUGGGAAAACAAACUUGAAGAGAAAAAAAGAAUCUAGACUGACUGUCAUAGAAGAACUGUGGUUUGUAAGAAAAAGAAAGUUUUCAAAUCACAAAGACUGUAUAAGACUAUUUUCUACAACUGAGAGAAAAAGCACAAGAUACAACGUGAAUUCUAGAAGCAAGCACGUGGCAGACAUUGGCAAGCGUCCAGAACUGCGCAGCUGUGUGGAUGAAGCAACGAAAUAGACAGAAAUAACUGAUCUGGUGAGUAACAUGGAAUUCAUUAAUGAUAUUGCAGAGAAAAGUAAAUUGCAGUUUGCAUGUAAAAGCAGCUAUUCAGAUGCUGUUUUGUGGCAAUCUUUAUACACACAAUGUGAAAUUGCCAAUAGUGAAAUUGCCAAUAGUGAAAUUGACAAGAAAUUUUUGUUAAUAAGAAAAAACUAAAGAUCAGAAAUGUUAUGAAACUAGUCUGUACUUACAAUGCAUUGAUUUGUAAACGAGAUGCAGGUCAAGACAAUUUAGAAUCAGCAGAAAAAGAAGUAGAUUUGAAUGGGUUAACAGAAGGCAAAUCAGAUUUAAAUGAACAGUGUAACAAUGUAACAGAGAGCACAUUGUCAGAAACAGUCUGUGAAUUAGAGGAUAGAGUUGAACUAAGAAAUGAUCUUAGUUGCCAGCUUACAAAUGAAGUUAAGCACGUUUGUGUUAAUACAAGAAAAAUAAAGGCACAGAAUCUAAUCCCAGAACCAACAGAUACUGAAAAUGUAUCCUCACAGAGUGAUUUGCAGAAAUGUAAAUUUCAAGAUAGAGCUGCAAAACUUAAUUUGAAAAUCCAUGAACAAUUAAUGAAAAUUGUGAAAUGUAUUCCAGUUUAUGACAUGUCAGUGGAUGCAUUUACUAAUGCUGAAAUAUUUGAGUCCAAUUUAGACAAAUACAGCCUUAACAACGAACAAAGGAAUAGACUAUUUUAAAUAUGGCUGCCGACUCAAAUGGCAUGUAGACUGACCACGCCUGUAAAAUGUGAGGACAAUGAUGAAAUAAUAUAUGGAAAUAAGCAAGACAGAUUAACACAAUUAAUAAAAUUAACAACAGGGAAUGAUUUUGCAGACACUGAAAUGUUGGAAAAACUAAAACCACACAAGGGGGAGGAUAUAUUUAGUUUUCUUGUAAAAUUUGAAAGUGCAUAUAGAAUCAGUUAAUCUUGUGAAAAAAUGUCAAGAUCUAGAUCCAACUGCAAUUGUGUUAGCUAGAGAAAAAAGCACUUUGAAUGACAUUGCUUUGUUCUUGGAUAACUUAAGGAGAGUAACCAAUAAUGAAGGGGUUAAAAUGACUUGUGGAUUUAGGCAGAGAAAGAAGUGCAGAUUUUACACCCCUCGUCCCCCUCUUCCUCCUUCUUCUAGGACAGAGUGUAAAAGAGUGAUACAGACAGCUGAGCCCCUCCCAAUGUGUUCAACUAGAAACUGCACAGUUGAUAAUCAAAGCCAGAAUAUAACUCCUAAAAUGAUUUGUUUUUGGUGCAAUAAACAACAUUAUUUAAGAUCUUGCAGAUAUUUUAUCCGAGAUAUCAAAUCAAAAGCAAAUGAGAUAAUUACAUUUGUUGAUUGAAAAUUUUGACAGAGAAAAUACAUGUGGAGAUAAAUCAAUUAAAGCCUUUCCUUGUAAACUGAUAAUCAGACAAAUAAGAACAAUUUUAGCUAAAUCAAAAUUAGGAGACAGACAAGCAAUGCAGUGUAACACAGAAGGUUAUAAGAAUCAGAUAACUUCAAGAGAUAUGAUCAGUUUAGGGAAUGAGCAUGGAUAUGUGUGCCAACAGAUGUACACAGGCUGAUUCCAGAAUUAAGAACAGCACAAGAAUAUAGAUCUAUGUUAGUAUGUUGUUUUAAUGAAUUGUUAGUCUGUACUGUUUUUCAUUGUUUUUAUGUGUGUUAUAAGAAAGUAUUAGGUUUGUAACGAAAUCCCCUAUUUACAGACUAUACGAACAAGCCUGUUCGGUUAUUUGGAGAAUUACAGUGGGAUUUCGUGGAAAUAACAAUAAAUGCGAAAGUGGCCGACCCCAGAUAGCUAUAGUAUGGAACUUGCAGUCGGCUGCAAACACACGAACGGCCGGUGAAAGUCAAACUUCGGUCGACGAUUCUGAGAACUGUGUUCGAGGGAUCUGAGCGCUAUUCGCCUAGAAUAUGCCCUCAGAUCCAAGCUAUCUGGGGAUAGGUGGAACUUAAAGGUUAUGUUGUGUAAAAAGAAAGUUAUAUAUUUUUAUUCUGUUUUGCUAAAUAAGAAAAGCCAUGCUUCUUUCUUCCUGGAGAUAAUUAAGGCUAUCUUUGCUACCUUAAGUUAAUUAUCUCCAGGAUGGAAAAGAGGGAGUGAUUUAUGUAAAAGGGGAGUGCUUAUGCUAUAGCCACUGUGAUUGGCUACUGUGUUACUUUUGUCCCAGUCUUCCAUCUGGUCCCUUAGGGGAGUGUCCACCAGGUGGAAGACCUGCAUAAAUACCUGGGCGGGUAGCCCACAGUAAAUCAGAUCGUUUUACCCCUUCAUGAAGUCUCGACUCAUGUUUGGGGGAUUGAGAGUUAUAAUCACUUCGUUUCAGUUGGAUUUCGGGAGAAGCUGCAAGGAUCAUCGCUGCACGAAUGCAAGGAUCCUUUACACUGGUGGCAAGCGGCGCAUACCCCUCCCGAACGGACGUACCGAAUUGAAACAAGUGGUGAAUGGCGCAUAGAUACGAACGCUUGAAACAAACCACAUUAAAGGAACUGCUGGAAGCUCGAGGCAUAGUGGCAAGCAACAAACCGAAAGCCACGUUAAUAGCCGAACUACUGGAGAGCGAUCAAACCGGCGAACCACAAAUGGCGAAUGCAGAGGGAUGUGAGAUGGAGACUCAGCCUGGUAGGACCUAACCCUGCACCAGAGAUCGUAGUACAGAUCUUGGCACAAGCUACAGAGUCCCAGAAUGCCAGGGAAGCACGAGAAGCCAGAGACAGGUCACCUCCAGUGGAUAUACUGUUGCUAUCUGGAUCUACAAUGGGGCGGCAGCGGAAAAUCAACUACGCUGCAUUUAAAAGCUUCGUGGAAGGUGAGAUGGAUAUUGAUAAUUACUUGCAAGAUUUUGAGAGACAAUGUGUGUUAGAAGAUUUGGAAAGAGCUAACUGGGCUGCAGUAUUAAGUAGUAAACUAUCAGGGAGAGCAGCCGAAGCGUUGAGAGCUGUGCCAGAUGGGGAUAUACAAAACUAUGACAAGAUAAAAUAAAUUUUGUUAGCCCGGUACGCUGUAACUCCUGAAGCCCAUAGAAGGAAAUUCAGGGCCCUCAGAAGACAAGGCAAGGAUUCAUAUACGGAGUGGGCAUUUUGUAUGCAACGCGCUGCCAGUAAUUGGAUGCAGGGGAAUCAGGCAACUACCCUAGAGGAUGCUGUGCAAUUGUUGUUACUGGAGCAAUUUUUUGAUUAUACUCCAGCGGAGGUGAGAGACUGGGUCAGAGACAGAAAGCCAAAAACGGUGGAGGAGGCAGCCAGGCUGGCAGACGAAUUCCAUGAGAGCAGGCGGAUGGAUGGAAACCGAGGGGUCCAGGGCCAGCGGCCUGCAUCUGGCCCGCCAACUAUGCCAGAGGGUACCACCACCAGGGGGCAAUACCACAACCCCGGGGUACCAAAAGACCGCUCCAAUGUGUUAUGGGUGCAAGCAAGUGGGGCACAUCAAACCUAAUUGCCCACAACACACUACAGACCGCUGGGGGCGGGCACCGGUACCACCAACCAAAGCAGCCGCACACUGUGUGCAAGAGGAUUACAACUCUCUGACUCAAGAGACACCCAGUAGCAACAGUGAGAAUUGGGCCACCUUACAUGAGGUGAACCCUGUGCAAGCGGCUGGGGAUAACAGGGCGCACCACCGCCAGUCAGUAAAGCUCAAUGGACAAGAGGCUUGGGGACUAAGAGACAGCGGGGCUACUAUUACCUUGGUCCAGCCACACCGGGUCACCCCGACCCAGCACACAGGACGCACCAUUGCUGUAAGGGUGGCCGGAGGGGCAAUUCACAAACUACCAACAGCCCGGGUUCACAUUGAUUGGGGUACAGGGGCCAAGGCCGUAGAAGUGGGCAUCAUGCCAGAUUUGCCCGCGGAAGUAUCGCUGGGGAAUGAUCUAGGAUGCCUGACGUCCCAAUUGGCAGCCUGCAGUCCCGAAGGAGCACUACCUGUUACCACCAGGCAGCAAUCCAGAGCCUCCCCCUCAACCCAUGACCAGGUAAGCGAUAACCCUCUGACGAUUCCCCCUGACCAUACUUCUUAAUGGGGUACCCCUCAAGACUUUGAGCAAGCGCAACGGGAAGAUCCCACCUUAAAAGGGUAUCGGAGGGAGGCAGAACAACCCCAGGGAGACAGAGAUCAGGCAAGGUUUAGCUGGGAAAAGGGUUUACUGUACCGAGUGACUGGGAGGACAGGGACAGGAGCGGGCCAGGUAGAAAAAAGACAGUUAAUAGUACCCCGUAAGUAUCGAGUAGAACUGUUGCGGAUUAGCCACGAUAUUCCCCUAGCAGGUCACUUGGGCAUUAAAAAGACGAGAGACAGACUCACCCAGUCCUUUUUCUGGCCAGGGGUCACUAGAGAUUUGCAGUAUUAUUGUAGGACCUGUGAAGUAUGCCAAAAGGUAGGGAAAAGUGGGGAUCACCCCAGGGCAAAACUACGCCCCCUACCCAUUAUUGAGGAACCCUUUUUCCGAGUGGCAGUUGAUUUAGUCGGGCCACUCAGUAAACCCAGUCCAUCCGGUAAGAAAUACAUUCUUACUGUGGUGGACUACGCUACCCGCUACCCCGAAGCUAUAGCUCUGUCCAAUAUACAUGCAGAGACGGUAGCGGAAGCACUAGUUCAGGUAUUCACUAGGGUGGGAUUCCCUAGGGAGAUAGUGUCAGAUCAGGGAACCCAAUUCACCGCGGUGGUUACCCAACAGCUCUGGCAGAGCUGUGGGGUAAAACCCAUAUUAAGUUCUCCCUAUCACCCCCAAACCAAUGGCCUCUGUGAACGUUUUAACGGCACCCUUAAGCAAAUGCUCAUCACGUUCACAGAGACCUGUAGGAAUUGGGAAAGAUUCCUCCCUCAUUUGCUCUUUGCCUAUAGGGAAGUUCCCCAGGAGUCCACCGGAUUCUCCCCGUUCGAGCUAUUAUACGGGAGACGGGUCCGGGGACCCCUGGAUCUAGUACGGGAACAUUGGGAGGGUGAUAUGGAACAAGCAGGUACCCCUAUAGUCUCCUAUGUACUAGAGCUGAGGGACCGGCUACAGGCUCUGACCGAAACAGUUCGGGAGAACCUGCGAGCCGCCCAACAACGGCAGAAGUACUGGUAUGACAAGGGAGCUAGAGACCGUAUAUUAGAAGUGGGACAAAAGGUCCUAGUGCUUAAACCUAUCAAAACAGAUAAGUUACAAGCAUCCUGGCAGGGCCCCUACACUGUAAUAGAGCGGAUCAGUGAUACCACGUACAUUGUGGCAGACUGUUCCAAGGAAAGGAUCCGGCGGUCCUUCCAUGUAAACAUGCUCAAGCCAUAUCUUGAGAGACCAGAGGAGGUCUCCGCGGUAUGCGCUCCAGCAUAUGAAGAUAGUGAGGGUAUCCCUUUACCAGAUAUGCUUCCCCAGGAACCCACAGGAGUAGACCAGGUACAGUUGGGUCCAGAAUUAGGUUCCGAGGAACAAGCUCAGGCUUCCCAACUGUUAAAGGAAUUUGGGGGCAUGUUUUCAGCAGCCCCAGGGUAUACGACCCUGGCAGUCCACAGAGUGGAGACCCCAGGCCAGUUACCCCUGCGGCAGCAGCCUUACCGAAUUCCAGAGGCAGUACGGGAAAGCAUGUUAACGGAACUCCAGGACAUGUUAGAACUGGGGGUCAUAGAACCGUCCCAAAGCCCCUGGGCUUCCCCAGUAGUGCUGGUUCCUAAAAAAGACGGUACCACCAGGUUCUGCGUGGACUACCGUAAGCUAAACGAUCGGACCGUUACCGACGCAUACCCCAUGCCCAGAGUAGACGAGCUGCUAGACCGUAUGGCUGGGGGGGAUUAUUUGACCACUAUUGAUUUGUGCAAGGGAUAUUGGCAAAUCCCUUUGGAGCCUGAGGCCAUUCCAAAAUCGGCAUUUGUCACCCCAUUUGGCCUAUACCAGUUUAAGGUUAUGCCAUUUGGGAUGAAGAAUGCCCCAGCUACGUUUCAAAGGAUGGCAGACCGGCUCCUAGAGGGAUUUCAGGGCUUCGCUUGUGCUUACCUGGACGAUAUAGCUAUCUUCAGUGGCACUUGGGAAGCCCACCUGGAGCACAUCUCAGUAGUGCUCAACCGAAUUCAGAAUGCAGGGCUAACCUUGAAGCCUGAGAAAUGCCACGUGGGCAUGGCUGAAGUCCAAUAUUUAGGUCACAGAGUAGGGUCAGGAAAACAGAGACCAGAGCCCGCUAAGAUUGAGGCCAUCACCCAGUGGCCUCAACCCCGGACGAAAACCCAGGUCAUGGCGUUCUUGGGCACCGCAGGUUAUUACAGAAAAUUUGUAGCGGAAUACAGUGCCCUUGCCAAACCCUUGACAGACCUCACCAAAAAGUCCCUACCCCGACAAGUAGUCUGGUCCACUGAGUGUGAGGAGGCGUUCCAGAAACUCAAGGCUGCGUUAAGUGCAUCUCCUGUGUUAGCAGCACCUGAUCAUACUAAAAGGUUUCUCGUCCACACAGAUGCCUCAAUGUUUGGACUGGGAGCAGUAUUGAGCCAGGUGGGAGACGAUGGCAUGGAUCACUCGGUGGCAUAUCUGAGCCGAAAACUAUUACCCCGCGAAGUCAGCUAUGCCACUGUGGAGAAAGAGUGUCUGGCAUUAGUCUGGGCACUUAAGAAACUACAACCCUACUUGUAUGGACGCUCUUUCACAGUGCUGACUGACCACAACCCUUUAAUUUGGCUUAACAGAGUAGCUGGCGAUAACCCCAGACUACUCAGAUGGAGCUUGGCACUGCAACCCUAUAAUUUUACAAUGCAGUAUCGCCCCGGGAAACAGAAUGCCAAUGCCGAUGGCCUGUCCCGGCAAACUGAACUGGAAAAGUCGUUUUUUUUGUUUGGUUCUCCUGUGCUACCGGACAUCCCUUAGCCGACCCGUUAGGAUCUAAGCAGGUAUGCCGUUCCAUGGGACUAAGGGGGAGCUGUGUAACGAAAUCCCCUAUUUACAGACUAUACGAACAAGCCUGUUCGGUUAUUUGGAGAAUUACAGUGGGAUUUCGUGGAAAUAACAAUAAAUGCGAAAUUGGCCGACCCCAGAUAGCUAUAGUAUGGAACUUGCAGUCGGCUGCAAACACACGAACGGCCGGUGAAAGUCAAACUUCGGUCGACGAUUCUGAGAACUGUGUUCGUGGGAUCUGAGCGCUAUUCGCCUAGAAUAUACCCUCAGAUCCAAGCUAUCUGGGGAUAGGUGGAACUUAAAGGUUAUGUUGUGUAAAAAGAAAGUUAUAUAUUUUUAUUCUGUUUUGCUAAAUAAGAAAAGCCAUGCUUCUUUCUUCCUGGAGAUAAUUAAGGCUCUCUUUGCUACCUUAAGUUAAUUAUCUCCAGGAUGGAAAAGAGGGAGUGAUUUAUGUAAAAGGGGAGUGCUUAUGCUAUAGCCACUGUGAUUGGCAACUGUGUUACUUUUGUCCCAGUCUUCCAUCUGGUCCCUUACCUUCCAUCUGGUCCCCACCUGCAUAAAUACCGGGCGGGUACCCCUUCAUGAAGUCUCGACUCAUGUUUGGGGGAUUGAGAGUUAUAAUCACUUCGUUUCAGUUGGAUUUUGGGAGAAGCUGCAAGGAUCAUCGCUGCACGAAUGCAAGGAUCCUUUACAAGAUUAAUUAAUUAAAAUAAGAAUUUACAUCAAGUUUGCAAAUAUGGCAGAAUAAAAUAUACUAAUGUAGCAGUUAGGCACAUGCAAUGUAUGUUAUAUUUGGUAUAUGCGAUUAUACAGUAACUCCAAUCAUUUUACCGAAGGAAAAAACAAUGUUGUUACUUCUGAGGAUGAUAUAAAAUCUUUGAUUUAAUUCAUGAGAAUGAGAUUUUAAUAUCAUGACUGAUAAUGGAUUACUAUAUUUUGCAAAGCCUGGACAUACAUAUGUUUUGAUCAUAUAAAAGACAAAAGUUUUGAUAGAAUAAAACCUAGAUUUACAAAUACAUUUGAUGUAGGAAACAAUAUAUGUUUUUUGUAGUUUGUUUCAUGUGACAAAAUGGUGCCAGUGUUAAGACAAGAUGGCUGCUAUUGCUAAAGUAUAGUGGUAAACAAUAUUUUGUUGUAACAUCUUAUAUGUGAUUAGGUUAUACCUCCAGAUUAUUAAACAGUUUAAAAGGGGGGUAUAAGUAAUAAAAAGUUUGGCAAAUUUAAAUGUUCAGAAAGACUUUGAUAUAAAGGAAAUUUAAAGAUUAUACAUCACAUGACAUAAAUGCAAUGACGACUAGAUGGUAGAUCUCAUGAGAAGAAAUGAGAAUGUUGUGUAGUCCAUGUAAUUCAAUGUUAAACUGUAUAAUAAUAAUGAGAUAUAAAGAUUGUAAGCCAUUGUAUUGAUGCUGCACAUGUUUUUUUGUUUUAAUGUAGGUAAAGUGUGACAGAUCCAUGUGGCAAUAAAUCAGGAAAGCAUUCCUUUAGUCAACUGGACAUCGACUGUUGGAAAGAGACUUUUCAUCUGAUCUGCAAACUGUGAUGGAAGAUUCUACAGAGUUCAUUUGAUACAGAAGAUUAACAGACUUAAAAAGAAAUAAAAGAUUGGCACUAACAUACAUAUAUAUUCCUAAAUAUUAAUGAAGAAGAAAACAGACAAUGAAAAGUUAUUUAACAGUUAUGAGUAUUAAUACCAAAAGAGACUACUUAUAGCUAGAUAACACAUGGAGUACAAUUACGAAAGGAUAGUAUUAUGUAUUAUGAACUAUUACAUUAUUACCUAUACAUAGGAUGAGAAGUAUCAGAAAUAGAUAAAAUAUGAAGUUGAAAAAUAAGGAUCAUGGUUACUUAAUACUACAAAGAUUGAGUUCAAUAGUAUUUCAUAGAUUCACUAGAAUGAGUAAUUUGUUUAUAUCGAGGUGAAGUAAAACAAACAAUGGUAACAUAAGGAAGAAAACUAAGGAAGAAUAAUUUAUAUUGAUUUAUAUUAAGUAAUUAUAUAGAUUAAGAAUGCCUUGGAUAUAAGAGUUCAGAGAUCCAAGAGGAAUUGAAUUGAAUGGAAAGAGUAUAG